UCUGGAUUAUGUUGAGCCCGGAUGCCACCCUGUUGUACUGGAUUGGGAAAAACACAAAAACAAGACCACUCAACCUUUGAAUCCAGCAGAGCAGCCAACCCACUGCCCAGUCUGGAUACCCUGCUGCUGAUUUGGAUGUUACUCCUCAAGUCCUCAGCCACAGCCAGAAACCAGCACACUGGCUGUAACCCUGCUGUCUUUUACUCAUGGCGCCCAUGCAGAAUUGCAGUCACAGCCAGACAUCACUGCCAUGCUGCCUGUACCUUUGGUUUCCUCGUAUCACACUGUCCAUGCAGAGCUUAAUUCGGAGCUAGAUACUACCUGUGCCCAUGCAGAGCUUCAGCCAGAGCCAGACACCACUUACAACCUGCCUGUGCCCUUGCUGUCCUAAUUUUUUGGUGCCUCUGCUGAAUUUCAGUCAGGGCCUUGUAAAAAAAUGUAAUAGUUACACAGUCAUUUACAAAACGCCAUUAGUGUUCAUUAUGGAGAAGGGAAAGACUGAUUUUCUUUUUCCUAUUUCUCUGGAUAUAGAAACCACAUUCACACCACCUUUG